GGUCCUUGAUACAUGUUGGGAAUGAGGGGAGUAGCAGCACGUCCACUUUCACUCUCACAAUAACGCUGCCCAGGCGCAGCCAUGAUUUAAUUAGAAACUUAUUGUCAGAGGAAGUUUGUUUAUUUUUUUUAUAUGGUCGUGCGCACUGGUUAAUUCAGUUCAGGUCGUAUGUUUAUCUUUCCUUGCUAGCCGAGUAAUAAUACUUCGUAUGUUUUAGUCAUGAUUUAUGUUUAUACUCUGUUGCUCCCUCUUUUAUGCAAUCUUGCAAAGGGGAUGCUGCCGAAAUUUUAUAUAUGGACGUCGGAAGUGUAGUACAGUAGCAUACCGGGUUGUUUGUGGAACCUGGAGUGUUACAGUUGGUUUCAGAGGAUAGGCUUUAGAUUCUACGCAAUUUGAAGAUAAAUUUGACACACUUGCACAUAUAGGAAGGGUAUGGGUUCAUAUAUCUUUCAUAUUAGUAUUUUAUUGUAUAGAUGACUAGAAUUUCCUUACUCCAAACCCGUUUAUAGUUUGAUGAGGUAUGUCGUAACGACGUAAUGCUUGAUAUGAAAUGUUACUUCUAUUUAAUAUUGGUUUCUUGAUGUGGUUGAUAUUGAAAUUAUUAUGCGAGUGAAGCUACUAAUGUACUUGUUUUAUAUACAUAUCGUCAUGAUGUUUUUUUGGGAUGCAAUGUUUACUAAUCUCUGAGCUAUUACCAUCAUAUAUUUCUAUAUGCUUGACUGUGGAUGUUUUUUUUCCCAAAAGGAUUCUUGGGUUCUAGUACUUGUAGGACCGAUUGUUUAUUGAGCUUGUGUAUAGAGGUUCUAAUCCGACUUGGUGUAGUGUGAAAACACUAUACAAUGAAGUUUUAUGGUGUUGUUGAGUUGGAUUGACUGUUGGGUUACAACCCAACUUAUCAAUGUAAUAUUUCCAUGGGUGCAGUGCUUUACACCUCACCUUUUUUUGGCUGGUGUGGCUACUUGCCAACUUGAUCUUAGAGUACAAUAGGUUUGUCUCCAUAGAGCAAAGGCAAUGUUGUACUGUCUAUGAAAUCUUGAGACUAGAAGAACUCAAGUGAAUUUGCAAGAUGACGUGGGUAGAUAAGUCCAACCAUGUUUACAUGAUAGGUUUUCUUAUUGUGUGCAACCUUAUCUUUAAUAAUAAAUAGGGUGAUUUCAAGUGGAUUUUAUGUCUAUAUUAUAGUUGAAGAGGCAUGCAUGUUUUCCUUCUAUGGUUUGUUUCUAUAGCCAAAAAGGUUAUGCAUAAUUUCUAUUUGUUGGAGGCUAGUCAUGCGGACGAUAUGGACAACCCGUUUUAUAUUGUUUUUAAUCGCCGAUGAUACAUGGUAGUUUUUUUAUAUGAUCAGUUCUCUAUGCAUGCUUGUGGAAUUAUUAUUUGGACCGCUUUAUCUUAAACAAAGUCAAUGUUUAACUGGAAGUUGCUUAUGUUUGUUAGUCAUCUAUCUCUAUAAUGAUGUGGUUGUUGCAUUAGAUGGAGAUUUUUAUUAUAUGAAUGAUGGUUUGAUAGAUCAUGUAUGUCUACUACUUUGAAUUCAUCCUAUGACAUCACUAGGUACAAAUUGUUCAAGUGCAAUAAUAGGAGGUAUUGUUGUAUGUGAGGUUAAUCAAAGUAGUUGGGUUAGGUGGAUUAUCUUAUUGAAGUCCAAUUACUCUUGUUGAGCAUAGUAUCAUGUUAUUAUUUUAGUGUUGAAAGUAAUAUUUAUGAAGCUUUUGCAUGAGUCCGUGUCAAGAAGUACAUUAGUUUUUUCUUGUUGUUAUCCCUCCAUUGCUUUAUGAGUAUUGCAAAUUUUAUCUCUUUUGAGAGGGGGAAAAGAUGUUAUAUGACAUGAGCACCAUUUGCUUCACGUCAACAGAAUAGUUUUGGAGAUUUCUAGUAGUUGGAUUCUAGUGUAAUAACAACCAUGUUUUAUAGAGCUGGAGACGGGUAUGUCAGGUGUUUCAUACAUUGUCGGUACAUGGAUGUUUGACCUUAGUGACAUUAACAAACGAGGUUGUUGAAUUCAUUGAUUGUUGUGCUUAGUGUUCUAACCUAUUUGGUAGAGUGUUAUUUAAAGACUUUGUGGAGUUGCAUCCCAGUUUGGUAGUGGAAAAUCCUAGUGUUGAUGGCACCUGCCAAUGACUUGGGUUUCAUUUUAUAUUGUUUUUUUAUUGUUGAUAAUGUGUUGUUUGGUUCCGGGAGGCAUUUUAAAUUAGUUGGAGGCUGAAUCAGGCUCACUUAUCUAGAAUGUUUUGUAGUAUGUUUCUGCAUCUUUCCAUAGGAUGCUUAAUCACCAUGUUUGGUCUAAACAUUUGAGAGAUAUGGGUUUCUUAAAACAUCUUUGUUGGUGUCUCUAGCAGAGUGAGUCUUUAAUUUUGUACGGAAGAGUAGACAUUGAAGACGGUAUAAUUUGGUCUUUGUGGAUUAUGAAAGUUUUAGUAAUUUCAUGAUCUUUUCAAAGAGUAUGGGUUUCUAAUUCUCAUUGCAUAUAAUUGGAGUUAGGUUGCUCUGAAGUUGUUGCACUGUUGUGUCUAAACUUUAGGCGUCGUUAUAAUCACCAAUAAAUCGACCGCGUUUUGAUAGUUGCAGAGCACAAAUUUGCGAAUUCUCUUUAAGCAAAACUUGUAGGUAUUUUCAGUACCUUUUUAAUGGGUAUUUACUUGUAACUGUCUGUUAAAUAGAUUUGGAGAGGUGGUUGCCCGGAUAUAAGUCGAAUUUCUAAUGUGCAGUAUCUCAGGCUGAGUUUAGCUGUAGGUCAUGCAGAGUUGUGGGCUAUAAGGAUAAAUUUGGGUGCAACUUUAUUGCAAAAGUCGUGGACAAUUUUCAAAACUUUUCCAACGCGUGUUCGUUGUAGUUUAAGUUGAGUAUAGCAGGAGUUAUAGGUUUUUGAAUUUUAGUUGUCCAUUGUUUCAAUCUUAUCAGUUUUGAAACAAAAGAGUUGCAUUGUUUUAUCGGUUUGGAAACCAAUUCCGAGACACUCAUUAUAAUAAAAGUUCUAGGGAAUGUUAUAAUCUUUUCAGUGAGUUUAUAUUUGCAAAAUUUUGUUAGCUGCAGGGAGUUAUGAUAUCAUGUAUAGAAUGUGCUUGGAUGAAUAUGUGGGCAGACAUAACAUGCUUAAAUUGAUUCUUGUUUGCAUGAUGUGAGAUUAGGCUUAAAUGAUUUAAAAAGUUAUCAUAUUGCUUCUAUACUUAUAUUUGUUCUAGGUGUCUCGUAAUGAAGAACCUAAAGUUAUUAGUCUUUCAAUGAACGCUUAAUCUUAGAAGAGUAAUGAACCUGAUAAAAUCUAUUGCUUGCUAUUGGGACUGCAUGACCAGUUUUAGUUAUGCAGCUAGUUCAGUGAAGUAAACCAUCUUUUCUGUAGAGAUGUUAUAUAUAAAAGUUGUAGCCAACUUAUUUAUCUUACUUGUGUAAAAAUUUCAUGACCAUAGGUCUAGUAGUUUGGGAGUUAUGAUUUUCUCAAGUCCAGUCUUGAAAUCUGUGCAGAUUCUAUACAGAUUUCGAAGCUGACCUUGUUUGCCCAAUUUAAACUUCGAAUAACUUAUUAUAAAUUAUAAAUAAGUUGUAGUACUUUUCUUAAUCGUUACAACAAAUUUUGGAUUAAUUUUUUUUGGAGAUCUAUAAGUUAAGUUACAGCUGUUUUAAGUGUGAUCUCUGAAUCUGUCCAAAUUUGGACAACAGAGCCUUUCUCGUGUCUUUUGACCUUAAUAUGCAUUGAAUUAACUUGAUAUGUUUAUAAAUGAAUUAUAGACAAUUCUACUAGCUUUCUAAAAAGUCUGGGAGCACCUGAAUUGGAUGAUUGAUACUCCAAUUAUGGAUUUUUGAAUUGAGUAGUUGAAUUAUGUCCAAGUCUGGACAGAAUUUACUUUUAGCACUGUUUGACCUUUCUAAGUGUCAAAUCUUGUUGUGAUGAUAAUACCAAGGGUAUAGUUGACUUUAUAAGUUUUCCAUAAAGUCCUAGUUUACUAAUUUUCGAUGCAUAUUUUUGUGAGUUAGGAGCAAAACAAUUAACCGCUGUGCUGCUAUCUAGAAAUAUGCAAGCAUUAAGUUGCUCUCUUGAAGUUGCUCUUGUGUGGCUAAGUUUGGUUUAGCCUAUAGGAACAUUAUAUGCCUUGCAUUCAUAUAUACAUUCUUUAAAGUACUUGCAUAUGUCAAUGAUUGAUUUGGUGUCAGGAAAGCUUGGUCCGAGGUAUAUAGGACCGUCUGCUAUCUUGGCCGAGUUGGCAGCUGGGCUUAGCACAUGUAAUUGUCGGAAUCUGUGAUCAGAGUACACCAAGUAUUCCAUGUCUUUUUUUUGAGGAAGUAUUUGCGGAAUCCAGACCAUCAAAUCGAGCUAGAGCCGAUUCCUGUGUAGCAAGCGCAGACUCUAGAGUGUCGUCUGCUGUGUAUCUUAGAAUCCUAAGAGCUUGAGGAGCUGAUACGGCAGAAGUACUCGAACUUUUCUUUAUGUGUGAGUUUUGUUGAUUCAUUAACCUUUCUUUUGUUGUUCCGAUAGAAGCGUCAGAAUUCGAGGUCGAAUUAUUUUUAGGAGGGGUAGAGUGUGAUACCCGGUUUGCAAAGAAGAGAAGUUGGGGGUUGUUCUUUUUAUUUUUUUCCUCAUCCGGUUGUUGUUUUGGGGAUUUGGGAUUUUGUGGAAAACAUUCACAACUAGGGCAGUAGAAUUUAUUUGGUUUGAUGCUUGCGUUGCGGUCGGGAGCUGUCGCGUGGGUUAGUUGGGCCGCAAUUGGAGUUUCGGCCCAUUAACCCUCCCAAACCCUAGCCGCCUCCCUCCUAACCCCCUUCCCCCAUGUGCAGCCGCCCCCCACUUCUCUUCCCCCUUGGCUGCCGCCCCCCUGCCCAUCUUCUCCUCUCUCAAUUCUUGCAGCCACCAAACCCUAGCCGCCCCCCUCUCAAUCCCCUCCUCCCAAGGUGCCAAUCCUUGCCGCUCGGAUCAUCGUCGUCGUGGUGCGAGUCUUCAAUCGUUUUGGUGGAGGGAAGAAGGGAGGAAGGAAAGAGGGAGAAUCCAAGGUGAUUUUUGUGUUCAUCCCUUGUUCAUUUGCGCUGCAAUUUAAUUGAUUAGAGGUUGCGUUUGCGAUUGGGGUAGAGGGGGGCUGUCCAGAAUUUUAGGUGGUGGGUGAACAGCAGUAGUCUAGCAGUUUAUGUGUUUUUUUCGUGAGGAAUUAAGGGAAAUCAGUUUGGGGAUCAUGUAGAACUUUACCUUACCUUUCCAACGAGUAUUUAUGCGCUCAAUUUGGAGUUAUAAAUUGAAAGUUAUCACCGUUUGAAUCGGGGUAUGUGGCUGUCCAAAAAAACAGAUUUUUCAGGGGGAUGAACAGCAGCAGUAUUAGCAGUUUCUGGGGAUUUUUCGGGAGUAAUUAGUGUUAAUCAGUAUGAGAAUCAUGUAGGGCUUUAUGUUAUCUUUCCAACAAGUACCUAUGCGCUCGAUUCAGAGUUAUAAUUCAGGAGAUAUCAUUGUUUGAAUCCGGUUAUGUUGCUGUCCAAAAAAACAGAUUUUUCAGGUGGGUGAACAGCAGUGGUAUUAGCAGUUUCUGGGAAUUUUUCGUGGGUAAUUAGUGUUAACCAGUAUGGUAAUCAUGUAGGGAUUUGUCUUAUCUUUCCAAUGAGUACUUAUGCGCUUGAUUUGGAAUUAUAUUUUAAAAGAUAUCGCUGUUUGAAUCUGGGUAUGUCGCUGUCCAAAAGACAAAGAAAAACAGAUUACAUGGUUCAUCUUGUGGACUGUUUUGGGCUAAUUAGAUAUUGAAAUUUUAUUAUAAAUUGUAUACAAAACUUGUGGGGAAUUUUAUGUAGAUGCCUCUGGAGUCUUUGUUUGUUACCACUGCUGUCAUAAUUUUAAAGUUAUGAAAUUAUUAAGCAGCGCCGCUGCAGUUUGGUGGGUGUAGGGAGAGAUGUAACCCGCGGCGGGGUUUGAGUUUGUGCGUAGGUGCGACGUCGCUUAUGAGCCUGAUUAUGUGAAAUUGGUGUACUAAGUUGGGUGUCAAAAACAGGUGGUGGGCUUCCGGAUCGUACUUGGGAUUUGCCCGAACUUCCGGUAAAGGCAAGUAAAUACAGUGGUGGUUGCUACCAUUUGGUUUGCAUCCUAUUCCCUGUCAUUGAGUAUGCAUAAGUUUUAAUUAUGUUAAUCAUUGAAUUCUAUGAUGAAGUUUAUUUGUUUGGAAGUAUUAAUUCUCAAUUGUCUAAUAUUGUGGGUGAUCAUAAUUUGGUAAUGAUAUAUGUGGUCGAUUCCCAUCUGGAUGAAGUUGAAGUGUCUUUUUGAAUCAUGUUAUAUGAAGUGUUGUAGGCAUGACAUGCACAUCGCAUCAUCCAUCUUGCAUUUUGAAGUUAUGUCGUGAUCUUAUGGUCCGACCGUACCGGUACAUUUUUAGCAUCGUAUGUUGCCCGAGGAGGGGUACGAUGCGGCUUCAUAUCCUUAGAGGUAUGAAGGCAGAAGUCAUCCUUGCAUUUGCAGACAUUUGCACUCAUGAGGAAUAUAUGAAGUGUGACAUUACUAUGUUACUAUUGUGGUUUCUACCUGCGAGGUGUGGUAACUAGGUGCGUUGUACGUUGUAUACGUGCUGCACCUUCGUAAUAAGAAGGUUGUGGAAUUAAGUGGUGGUAAAACAAUGUUCUUAUGUGGUUAAACUGUUUGAUAUUAUUUUACUUGCUGAGAUGUGUCAUCUCACUCUUGCAUUACUCAAUGCAGGUCCUUGAUACAUGUUGGGAAUGAGGGGAGUAGCAGCACGUCCACUUUCACUCUCACAAUAACGCUGCCCAGGCGCAGCCAUGAUUUAAUUAGAAACUUAUUGUCAGAGGAAGUUUGUUUAUUUUUUUAUAUGGUCGUGCGCACUGGUUAAUUCAGUUCAGGUCGUAUGUUUAUCUUUCCUUGCUAGCCGAG
rnacentral:lncRNA from 1 species